UACGGGGGGAGCAAGCGUUGUUCGGAUUUAUUGGGCGUAAAGAGCGUGUAGGCGGCUUCACAGGUCCGCUGUGAAAACUCGAGGCUCAACCUCGAGCUGUCGGUGGAAACCGUGUGGCUAGAGUCCGGAAGAGGAGAGUGGAAUUCCCGGUGUAGCGGUGAAAUGCGCAGAUAUCGGGAAGAACACCCGUGGCGAAGGCGGCUCUCUGGGACGGUACUGACGCUGAGACGCGAAAGCGUGGGGAGCGAACAGG
rnacentral:rRNA from 1 species